rnacentral:rRNA from 1 species
UACAGAGGUCUCAAGCGUUGUUCGGAUUCAUUGGGCGUAAAGGGCGCGUAGGCGGCGGGGUAAGUCGGGUGUGAAAUCUCAGAGCUCAACUCUGAAACUGCACUCGAUACUGCUCUGCUUGAGGACUGGAGAGGAGACUGGAAUUCACGGUGUAGCAGUGAAAUGCGUAGAUAUCGUGAGGAAGACCAGUGGCGAAGGCGAGUCUCUGGACAGUUCCUGACGCUGAGGCACGAAGGCCAGGGGAGCAAACGGG